UGGAGUUUUUAAGGACAAUUUGCCACAGACCCAGCAACCACUUUCCUGAAAAGGGUCAGUCCACACGACGCACCAAGAAGCCUGGCUCAGAGGAACUGUGGCUCCAGCGUCGGUACACAGACAAAGCAGAAGGCAGCCAGUUGGCAGGGUAUUAUUAAAAGUCAAGAGAAGCUGAGCCAGUUAACGUGAAGGAGGAGCGGAGCCCACUCUCAAGCUGCUGCUGGGCGCCCAGAGACACAGAAUCCCGUGCCAAGAACCGGGAGCCUUCCCAGGACAAGGCACUUGAGUUGCAGAUUAAAAUGUCAUCUGGUUUCUGCCCUGUGUAUGACCUAAGGGGGAAAAAAAUCACUUUGAGAGAUGUAAGUGGGGACAGAGAAGAGAAUACGGAAGGCUUCUGGCUGGGACAACUGCGUGUGUUUGUCAGUGUAUUUUUUGGUCAUUUUAGAGCAACCUUAUUAACCCCUCAGAGGCUGCAAGAAAUUAACUUUCUUUUCAGAUUCAAAUGAAUCCCAAUGAUGGGUGUAUCACUGGGGGAUUUUCACAGGGACUGGAUAUUAAAGAUGAUAUUACAUUUCUCUGGUGUGAUAAUACCAUUGGGAUUUUGGAGAAAGCUUUUAUUCUUAGCAGACGCUGCUAAGGUCUGUAAGUGGUCUGUUGACAUGCCUGCCAUUUACCUUCAAAUGAGACAGCAAAUGUUUUUUAUGUAUGUAUUUAUUUAUUUUUUCAGAGACGGGAUUUCACUCUAUCCCCCAGGUUGGAGUGCAGUGGCAGGAUCAUGGCUCACUACAGCCUUGACCCCUUG
rnacentral:lncRNA from 10 species